rnacentral:rRNA from 1 species
AGAACUUAGCAGAGAUGCUUUGGUGCCUUCGGGAACUCUGAGACAGGUGCUGCAUGGCUGUCGUCAGCUCGUGUUGUGAAAUGUUGGGUUAAGUCCCGCAACGAGCGCAACCCUUAUCCUUUGUUGCCAGCGGUCCGGCCGGGAACUCAAAGGAGACUGCCAGUGAUAAACUGGAGGAAGGUGGGGAUGACGUCAAGUCAUCAUGGCCCUUACGAGUAGGGCUACACACGUGCUACAAUGGCGCAUACAAAGAGAAGCGACCUCGCGAGAGCAAGCGGACCUCAUAAAGUGCGUCGUAGUCCGGAUUGGAGUCUGCAACUCGACUCCAUGAAGUCGGAAUCGCUAGUAAUCGUGGAUCAGAAUGCCACGGUGAAUACGUUCCCGGGCCUUGUACACACCACCCGUCACACCAUGGGAGUGGGUUGCAAAAGAAGUAGGUAGCUUAACCUUCGGGAGGGCGCUUACCACUUUGUGAUUCAUGACUGGGGUGAAGUCGUAACAAGGUAAGCGUAGUGCU